rnacentral:piRNA from 1 species
UGAAGCUAAUCAUUGCUUUAACACAGAGCCU